rnacentral:lncRNA from 1 species
AACAAGCCAGUAAAAUAAUCCACUGCCACUUUCUCAACACCAUUUUCUUCUGAGAUCCAAUUGCCUUCUUCAUCAUGGAGACCCACUUUUUUGUUUCGGAUCCGUCGUUGCUUUGUCAAAGCAUGAUAAAACUUAGUAUUAAGGUCCCCAGAUGAAUACCACAUAUUCCUACUCUUCUGGUGCCAAUAUUCCUCUUCAUCCCUAUAUGCCUC